AAACAACAGGUAGUUGGGCUAACAUCUGCUCAAGUUAACAGCUAAAUAAACUAACUGCUAUUCAAUCUAAAAACUAACAGCAGAACACUCUUAAUGCUACUCAAGGAAACUGCAUGGAAACAACAUGAAGAUUUGCCUGAGCUGAAUGAGGGAUACAUUAGCAGCUGUUGCAUGGAAGAAUAUUCUAUAUGUGGAGUCUUUGCUAUGAGGUGUGACCUCUGGCUGAUCGGACCUCGAACCAGACCUCUGUUGUUGUUUUUGUGGCUCCCUCCUGGACUAGAACUGAACCUGGCAGACUGAGUUCCUCUCCUGACUCUGUGCCUCUCCCUGGCGGAUUCCACAUUCCCCCCCACCAGCUGAAAGAAUGUCACAGAGCCUGAUCCAGUCAGCUGCAGCAGCCUCCAGUCACAUAUGGCAUCGUGCAGAUGGACAAUCUGUUUGGGCUUCAAAGUUAGAAGGCAAAGUUCAUUAAGGCGGCAUGAGCUUUGAGCCUGCGAUUAGAAAAUAAUUUA